AAACGGACGCUAAUACCGCAUACGUCCUACGGGAGAAAGCAGGGGACCCUUCGGGCCCUUGCGCUAUCAGAUGAGCCUAGGUCGGAUUAGCUAGUUGGUGGGGUAAUGGCUCACCAAGGCGACGAUCCGUAACUGGUCUGAGAGGAUGAUCAGUCACACUGGAACUGAGACACGGCCCAGACUCCUACGGGAGGCAGCAGUGGGGAAUAUUGGACAAUGGGCGAAAGCCUGAUCCAGCCAUGCCGCGUGUGUGAAGAAGGUCUUCGGAUUGUAAAGCACUUUAAGUUGGGAGGAAGGGUUGUAGAUUAAUACUCUGCAAUUUUGACGUUACCGACAGAAUAAGCACCGGCUAACUCUGUGCCAGCAGCCGCGGUAAUACAGAGGGUGCAAGCGUUAAUCGGAAUUACUGGGCGUAAAGCGCGCGUAGGUGGUUAGUUAAGUUGGAUGUGAAAUCCCCGGGCUCAACCUGGAAGCUGCAUUCAAAACUGACUGACUAGAGUAUGGUAGAGGGUGGUGGAAUUUCCUGUGUAGCGGUGAAAUGCGUAGAUAUAGGAAGGAACACCAGUGGCGAAGGCGACCACCUGGACUGAUACUGACACUGAGGUGCGAAAGCGUGGGGAGCAAAC
rnacentral:rRNA from 1 species